ACUUUGGCUGGCAGUGUGCGCCUCUAGCUCUCAAGCAGUGGGAGAGAUGUGCGUAACAUGCAGCGGAGAGCGGUGAUCAUCGCCCGUGGAGCCGCCGUGCGCACUCGGAAGAGGGAGCAGCUCGCAUUUCUGAUCAAAUGAUAGAAGAUAACCUUUCAAAUAAAGCAAAACUAAGGAAUUUACGAUGCAAGCCCCUCAACUGCUGAUUGGGGGUUAAUCGCCCCUCUUGGAGCCGCUGUGACGCAAACUGUAGCGCGCAUAUUAUUAUGAUUAUUUUCUUUUAGUUUAUUCUUUUUUUAUUAUUAUUAUUUCUUGUGGAAUUUCAUCUAAAAACUGGACGAUCCAGAUAGUUUUCCCGCCUGAGAAUGAAUCAGUGCCUGUCUGCAAGCUGAUUUGGAGUGUCUAUCCCCCUCUACCUCUCCAACCACCGGCUCUGUAGGUCCGCGACAAAAUCUUCUCCCACAGACGCCCAGGAUGCAGCUGCUCCGCGUUGCGUGGGCACUGACCGGAGCGGCGAUCUGCUGCUUUCUUAUCCUCCUCAUCCACUCACGCCUCUUAAAAGAAGGCCAGCUGGCAGCGGGGACAUGUGAGAUUGUGACGUUGGACAGGGACAGCAGCCAACCACGACGGACCAUCGCCAGGCAGACGGCCCGCUGCGCCUGUAAGAAGGGCCAGAUCGCCGGAACUACAAGAGCCAGACCCGCGUGUGUGGACGCUGGGAUCGUUCGAAAAAGGCAGUGGUGUGAGAUGGUUCCGUGCUUGGAGGACGAAGGCUGUGACCUGUUAGUCAAUAAAUCUGGAUGGACUUGUACACAGCCUGGAGGCCGAGUUAAAACCACCACGGCUCUAUGACGCGACAAGAGUUCCCCACGACAUUCUUGCACUAUGGAGAGCUUUGACGACCCCUUGACAGACAGCCAAAACCCACCAACCAACACCACCACCACCAACACAACAGCAGAUCUACCUUUACCUUGGUGCCACAAAGGCAGGACAAGCAAUCGGAGAGCACCAAGGGCCUCUUUGAGGCAGCAAGGUGUCAUAACACAACCAGAGGUGCAUAUACACUGGAGUGACUGACUAACGGAGGAUUAUCUCCCACGGGAAACCAGACAGACUCGCUAUCAAACACUUCCCGCCUUCUGUUACUUGCACCUCCGGGUUUCCGUCUGCUCUCCCACGCCGUCUUUCACCAGGUCAACGCCUUCCUCCUAGUCCCUGCAUCUGCCUGUUCGAUGAAAACUUUUAUGCCAUGGAGGACCGGACACCUUCAAAGACUGUUUUUGUCAUCGGGAAUCCAAUUUUCAAGGAGCUAGUAGCAUUUUGAAAAGGGAUUUCCCGCCUCCUCACCACCACUACCACCACCUCUCCAAGUCUUUCUGUAGUGCAGGAGUUUCCAGAGCACAGCUGGGAUCAUUACAGACCGAACCCUGUUGCUACGGACCACUUGAUGAGGCCGUAAAAACCAAACUGUGCACUCUCUGCUGUGAAUAGGCCUUCUGCUGGAGUGAAACUCCUUUAUUUUUAUAGACCAAAGAGCAAAACAACAAAUAUGAUCAUUAUGACCGAGGUGACAAAAGACACAUAUUACUUGUGGGGUUUCUACAAAAUCUCUACGAGAACAAUCUAAUCAAAGAAGUCCUUUUAAAACCUUCUGGACAUUGUUUUUUUCCCCCUCAGACUGAAGUUGUAUUUUGGAACUCGAAAUAUAGGUACUGCAUACGUAUAACUAUGUAUCAACAAAAAAACAAAACCUAAUUUGUGAUUUUUCAGUAGCUCUGGUUUCAGAUGGAACUGUUACAGAAUUCACAUUGAAAGAAAUGCUAGACAUCUAUGGAGAGCAUGGAUGCUGUUGAGUUGG